CCAACGGCCCUCUUUAGGGCCACAAAUACGAAAUCCAUACUGAAU
rnacentral:ncRNA from 14 species